rnacentral:rRNA from 1 species
GACGAACGCUGGCGGCGUGCCUAAUACAUGCAAGUUGAGCGCUGAAGGUUGGUACUUGUACCAACUGGAUGAGCAGCGAACGGGUGAGUAACGCGUGGGGAAUCUGCCUUUGAGCGGGGGACAACAUUUGGAAACGAAUGCUAAUACCGCAUAAAAACUUUAAACACAAGUUUUAAGUUUGAAAGAUGCAAUUGCAUCACUCAAAGAUGGUCCCGCGUUGUAUUAGCUAGUUGGUGAGGUAAAGGCUCACCAAGGCGAUGAUACAUAGCCGACCUGAGAGGGUGAGCGGCCACAUUGGGACUGAGACACGGCCCAAACUCCUACGGGAGGCAGCAGUAGGGAAUCUUCGGCAAUGGACGAAAGUCUGACCGAGCAACGCCGCGUGAGUGAAGAAGGUUUUCGGAUCGUAAAACUCUGUUGGUAGAGAAGAACGUUGGUGAGAGUGGAAAGCUCAUCAAGUGACGGUAACUACCCAGAAAGGGACGGCUAACUACGUG